rfam:Triticum urartu cultivar G1812 contig372258, whole genome shotgun sequence.
AUGUUACUCCCUUCGUCCGAAAAUACUUGUCAUCAAAAUGAAUUAAAAAAGAUGUAUCUAAAACUAAAAUACAUAUAGAUACAUCCCUUUUUAUUCACUUUGAUAACAAGUAUUUCCGAAUGGAGGGAAUACAUA